rnacentral:rRNA from 1 species
AUUGAACGCUGGCGGCAGGCCUAACACAUGCAAGUCGAGCGGAUGAAGGGAGCUUGCUCCUGGAUUCAGCUGCGGACGGGUGAGUAAUUCCUAGGAAUCUGCCUGGUAGUUGGGGAUAACGUCCGUAAACGGGCGCUAAUACCGCAUACGUCCUGAUGGUGAAAGUGGGGGAUCUUCGGACCUCACGCUAUUAGAUGAGCCUAGGUCGUAUUAGCUAGUUGGUUGGGUAAAGGCCUACCUAGGCGACGAUCCGUAACUGAUCUGAGAGGAUGAUCAGUCACACUGGAACUGAGACACGGUCCAGACUCCUACGGGAGGCAGCAGUGGGGAAUAUUGGACAAUGGGCGAAAGCCUGACGCAGCCACGCCGCGUGUGUGAAGAAGGUCUUCGGAUUGUAAAGCACUUUAAGUUGGGAGGAAGGACAGUAAGUUAAUACCUUGCUGUUUUGACGUUACCAACAGAAUAAGCACCGGCUAACUUCGUG